CCUAAGGUAGCGAAAUUCCUUGUCGGGUAAGUUCCGACCCGCACGAAAGGCGUAACGAUUUGGGCACUGUCUCAACAAUAGACUCGGUGAAAUUGUAAUCCCGGUGAAGAUGCCGGUUACCUGCGACAGGACGGAAAGACCCCAUGGAGCUUUACUGUAGCUUGACGUUGGGUCUUGGUACUACAUGUACAGGAUAGGUGGGAGACUAUGAAGCAUGGACGCCAGUCUGUGUGGAGUCAUCCUUGGGAUACCACCCUUGUAGUACUGGGAUCCUAACCAUAGGCCUUGAAUCAGGUCUUGGAACACCGUCAGGUGGGCAGUUUGACUGGGGCGGUCGCCUCCUAAAAAGUAACGGAGGCGCUCAAAGGUUUCCUCAGCACGGUCGGAAAUCGUGCGAAGAGUGUAAAGGCAAAAGGAAGCUUGAUUGCAAGACAUACAGGUCGAGCAAGGACGAAAGUCGGACUUAGUGAUCCGGUGGUUCCGCAUGGAAGGGCCAUCGCUCAACGGAUAAAAGCUACCCUGGGGAUAACAGGCUUAUCUCCCCCAAGAGUUCACAUCGACGGGGAGGUUUGGCACCUCGAUGUCGGCUCAUCGCAUCCUGGGGCUGUAUUCGGUCCCAAGGGUUUGGCUGUUCGCCAAUUAAAGCGGUACGCGAGCUGGGUUCAGAACGUCGUGAGACAGUUCGGUCCCUAUCUGUCGUGGGCGCAGGAAAUUUGAGAAGAGCUGUCCUCAGUACGAGAGGACCGGGAUGGACGCAUCAAUGGUGGACCAGUUGUCACGCCAGUGGCAUAGCUGGGUAGCUAAAUGCGGAAGGGAUAAACGCUGAAGGCAUCUAAGUGUGAAACCCACUUCAAGAUGAGAUUUCCCAUUGCGCAAGCAAGUAAGACCCCUUAAAGACGAUAAGGUAGAUAGGUCAGGAGUGUAAGCAUGGUGACAUGUUAAGCGGACUGAUACUAAUAGGUCGAGGGCUUGACCGA
rnacentral:rRNA from 1 species